rnacentral:rRNA from 1 species
UACGGAGGUGGCAAGCGUUGCUCGGAAUCACUGGGCGUAAAGGGCGCGUAGGCGGGGAGGUAAGUCGGGUGUGAAAUCCCUCGGCCCAACCGAGGAACUGCGCCCGAGACUGCUUCUCUUGAGUCCCGGAGAGGAAGAUGGAAUUCCCGGUGUAGCGGUGAAAUGUGUAGAGAUCGGGAGGAACACCGGUGGCGAAAGCAGGUACCUGGACUAUUACUGACGCUCAGCUGCGAAAGCUAGGGGAGCAAACAGG